rnacentral:rRNA from 1 species
AUACGUAGGGGGCAAGCGUUAUCCGGAAUCACUGGGCGUAAAGGGUGCGUAGGCGGUCGAUAAAGUCCGGGGUGAAAGGCUACGGCUUAACCGUAGUAAGCCUUGGAAACUUAUCGACUUGAGUACAGGAGAGGAAAGUGGAAUUCCUAGUGUAGCGGUGAAAUGCGUAGAUAUUAGGAGGAACACCAGUGGCGAAGGCGACUUUCUGGACUGUUACUGACGCUGAGGCACGAAAGCGUGGGGAGCGAACAGGAUUAGAUACCCUGGUAGUCCACGCCGUAAACGAUGAGUGCUAGGUGUCGGGGGUCGAACCUCGGUGCCGCAGCUAACGCAUUAAGCACUCCGCCUGGGGAGUACGGUCGCAAGACUAAA